CGACGCUUUUUCUUUCACCGGAGCUUGCUCCACCGAAAGAGAAAGAGUGGCGAACGGGUGAGUAACACGUGGGUAACCUGCCCAUCAUAAGGGGAUAACACUUGGAAACAGGUGCUAAUACCGUAUAACACUAUUUUCCGCAUGGAAGAAAGUUGAAAGGCGCUUUUGCGUCACUGAUGGAUGGACCCGCGGUGCAUUAGCUAGUUGGUGAGGUAACGGAUCACCAAGGCAACGAUGCAUAGCCGACCUGAGAGGGUGAUCGGCCACACUGGGACUGAGACACGGCCCAGACUCCUACGGGAGGCAGCAGUAGGGAAUCUUCGGCAAUGGACGAAAGUCUGACCGAGCAACGCCGCGUGAGUGAAGAAGGUUUUCGGAUCGUAAAACUCUGUUGUUAGAGAAGAACAAGGAUGACAGUAAAAUGUUCAUCCCUUGACGGUAUCUAACCAUAAAGCCACGGCUAACUACGUGCCAGCAGCCGCGGUAAUACGUACGUAGCAAGCGUUGUCCGGAUUUAUUGGGCGUAAAGCGAGCGCAGGCGGUUUCUUAAGUCUGAUGUGAAAGCCCCCGGCUCAACCGGGGAGGGUCAUUGGAAACUGGGAGACUUGAGUGCAUAAGAGGAGAGUGGAAUUCCAUGUGUAACGGUGA
rnacentral:rRNA from 1 species